GGGCAUUGUUGGGUUCAAGGUGUAUAUGUGAAUAGAAAAUGGAGGGAAAAUGGUGGAGGAAAAGAGAGACACCAAAUUAGAAAGUGUACUCUCAAAUUGAGAAGUUCACUAAUUCUCCCACAUUGGUGGGAGAAGGGAACUUUGGAGUGUUUUUAAUAAGGAGCACUAACUCCACAUAGAUAGUGAGGCAAGAAAAUGAUGGUGCCUUGCG
rnacentral:lncRNA from 1 species